UAGGGAAUCUUCGGCAAUGGACGAAAGUCUGACCGAGCAACGCCGCGUGAGUGAAGAAGGUUUUCGGAUCGCAAAACUCUGUUGGUAGAGAAGAACGUGUGUGAGAGUGGAAAGUUCACACAGUGACGGUAACUUACCAGAAAGGGACGGCUAACUACGUGCCAC
rnacentral:rRNA from 1 species